CUGAGCCUGACACAACCAAGGCUGUCAAAUGCUUCAACAUUUUCGAUCAUGAUAGCUGGCCUGAGGACCAAGAGGACUUAGUGGUGCUGAGGACCUUGCAUUUCUCUUAAAUCACUUCUCCACAGUCCUGAGAAGAAAUUGUGUAAACACUGAGCUUGCAAAAGAAGAGUUUGUAGACUUGAAGCUGUUAAUUGCCAGGAUGUUCAAAGACAUGACCUACCUCAGCCUUUGGGAGCUCAUGUUGACCGGAGAGCCCUUAUGCUCAUAGUACAAGAACAUCCUGCACCUAGUACUCAUUAUGCUGGUCCUCCCUGUCACAGCUGCAGUUUGUGAGAGAGCGUUCUCUGCACAGAUGAUGAUCAAAUCAGACAGUAGAGCACCCCUUCAUUCAGACACAGUGGCAGAUCUGAUGAGAACCAGUGUAGAGGGACCAAGUCUUGAAGAUUUUGAUGCUAGAGAGAGUGUGGCCAGCUGGUUUAGCGAAGGCCAAAGAUCAAGAAGGUCAAACUUCAGGAGUUGGCCAUCCGGGGAGCAUGUGACUGCACUGGAGGAUAGUCCAUAACCAAUCGAGACAAGAGAUGCUCCGUUUGAAGCCCUUUAAACACUUAAUUUAGAUUUUCUUUUUAUUUAAUUUAUCUUGAGAUGUUUUAGGUUUAAAUUUCAGCUCUGUGAAGUGCUUUAAUCACCAACACUUUUUCAGUAAGCUACCUUUCUCGUAGAAUAAUAAGGGUAGCUGAACUGCCGAUGUCCAGCAGAGCACGUCUGUUGUAUUUUAGCAGUGCUGGGCAUUUAUGCUCUGCAAAGAAAACAGGCAACAAACAAAAAAUAAAAAAAGACAACAUUCGAGAGCGAAGAAAGCAAACACGUCUGCCACCGGUGGAAAAUAAUGUCGAUUGAGCGCUUUAAAUCUUUGUUGAAAACUCAUCUUUUUCGCUAGUGCUUUUAAUUAUUCGUAGCUAUCUGGGCUGUCUUAUGCGUCUUGUUUUAUAUUGUCAUUUUAUGUUUAUUAUUUGGUUGUAAAGCACUUUGGUUAAUGUGUGCUGUACAUGUGCUAUACAAAUAAAAUGAUUGAUU